rnacentral:rRNA from 1 species
GGGGGAAAAAUUAAAAAUUUAAAAAUAAUAAAAAAAAUUUUAAUACGAAAAUGGGGGUUGGAGUAUUAUUAAUAGAAAAAAUUUAAAUUUUUAUAGUAAAUUAGUAUUGUGAAAGAAUUUUGAAAUAGCUGAAAAAUAAUUUAAAAUAAAGUAAAUUUAAUUUAUUGUAUCUUGUGUAUCAGAGUUUAUUAAAUAAAAUUACUUAAAUAAGUAAAUCUCGAAUUUAAAAGAGAUAAUUAAUUAAAAAAGUUAAUGUAGUAUAAUUAUUUUUAAUAAUUAAUUUGCAAUGAAAUGUUAUUCGUUUUUAAAUAUAUCUAGUUUUUUUAGAAAUAAAUUUAAUUUAAAAUUUAAUUUUGAUAAUAAUUUUUUAAUUAAUUAUUAUUAAAUUAAAUUAAAUAUUAAAAGGGAUAAGCUUUUUAAUAAAAAUUUAUAAAAUAAAAAAUAUUAUUAAAAUUUUUAAAAUUUAAAUUGUUUAGAAAUUUUAAUUUUUUAUAAAAAAUUUUAAUAAAAAUAAAAUUUAAUAAAAUUUUAAUUUUUUAUAAAAAAAAAUUUUUUUAUAAUGAUAAAAUUAUUAUAAUGAUAAAAUUAGUAUAAAUAUAUAUAUAUAUAUAAUAUAUAUAUAUAUAUAAAAUUAAAUAAAAGGAAUUCGGCAAAAAUUUAUAUUCACUUGUUUAUCAAAAACAUGUCUUUUUGAAAAUAAUUUAAAGUCUAAUCUGCCCACUGAUAAAUAUUAAAGGGCUGCAGUAUAUUGACUGUACAAAGGUAGCAUAAUCAAUAGUCUUUUAAUUGAAGACUUGUAUGAAGGAUUUAAUGAAAUAUAAUCUGUCUUUUAUUUAUAAUUAGAAUUUAAUUUUUUAGUUAAAAAGCUAAAAUAGAUUUAAAAGACGAGAAGACCCUAUAGAGUUUUAUAAUUAAUUAAUUUUGGGUUAUAUAUAUAAUUUAAAAUUAAAAAUUAAUUAAUUAUUUUAUUGGGGUGAUAAAAAAAUUAAGUAAACUUUUUUUUAUUGAAGACAUAAAUAAGUGAAUAAAUGAUCCAUUAUUAAUGAUUAAAAGAAAAAAUUACCUUAGGGAUAACAGCGUAAUUUUUUUUUUUAGUUCAAAUAAAAAAAAGAGAUUGCGACCUCGAUGUUGGAUUAAGAUAAAAUAUAAAUGCAAAAGUUUAAAAUUUUGAUCUGUUCGAUCAUUAAAAUCUUACAUGAUCUGAGUUCAAACCGGUGUAAGCCAGGUUGGUUUCUAUCUUUAGAAAAUUAAAAUAUUUUAGUACGAAAGGAUCAAAUAUUUAAAAUAAUUUUAUUAAAAGAAUAUUAUUAAUAUUAUUUAUAUAUAUAUAUAUAUAUAC